UUUAAUGUAGAGGGAAUAGUUGCUGUGCUGUAAGUUAAUAUACCAUAUCUAUAUCACAGUGGCUGUUCUUUUUGUACCUAAA
ensembl:ncRNA mir-6-1 mir-6-1 stem loop